UUGACCUCGAAUCAGGUAGGGAUACCCGCUGAACUUAAGCAUAUCAAUAAGCGGAGGAAAAGAAACCAACAGGGAUUGCCUUAGUAACUGCGAGUGAAGCGGCAAGAGCUCAAAUUUGAAAUCUGGCGUCUUUGGCGUCCGAGUUGUAAUUUGGAGAGGCAUCUUCGGGUGCGGCGCCGGCCUAAGUUCCUUGGAACAGGACGUCAUAGAGGGUGAGAAUCCCGUUCUCGGCUGGCUGUCCGUAUCCAUGUGAAGUGUCUUCGACGAGUCGAGUUGUUUGGGAAUGCAGCUCAAAAUGGGUGGUAAACUCCAUCUAAAGCUAAAUACUGGCGAGAGACCGAUAGCGCACAAGUAGAGUGAUCGAAAGAUGAAAAGCACUUUGAAAAGAGAGUUAAAAAGUACGUGAAAUUGUUGAAAGGGAAGCGCUUGAGACCAGACUCGGCGUGAGGUAUUCAUCGUCCCUUCUGGGGCGUGCACUUGCCUCUCGUCGGGCCAGCAUCGGUUGCGGCGGCGGGAUAAAGACCCGGGGAAUGUGGCUGCUCUCGGGCAGUGUUAUAGCCCUGGGUGCCAUGCCGCCUGCUGCGACCGAGGACCGCGCUCGGCUAGGAUGC
rnacentral:rRNA from 1 species